rnacentral:rRNA from 1 species
GACGAACGCUGGCGGCGUGCUUAACACAUGCAAGUCGUACGGUAAGGCCCUUUCGGGGGUACACGAGUGGCGAACGGGUGAGUAACACGUGAGUAACCUGCCCACCACUUUGGGAUAACGCUAGGAAACUGGUGCGAACACUGGAUAUGUGCUCCUGCUGCAUGGUGGGGGUUGGAAAGCUCUUGGGGUUGUGGAUGGAAUCGCGGCCUAUUAGCUUGUUGGUGGGGGGGUGGCCUACCAAGGCGGCGACGGGGAGCCGGCCUGAGGGGGUGACCGGCCACAAUGGGACUGGGAUUCGGGCCAGACCCCUACGGGGGGGAGCAGUGGGAGAUAUUGCACAAUGGGCGCGAGCCUGAUGCAGCAACGCCGCGGGCGGGAUGACGGCCUUCGGGUUGUAAACCGCUUUCAGCAGGGACGAAGCUUUUUGUGACGGUACCUGCAGAAGAAGCACCGGCUAACUACGUG